rnacentral:rRNA from 1 species
GCGCACGCUGGCGGCGUGCUUAACACAUGCAGGUCGAACGGAAAGGCCCUGCUUUUGUGGGGUGCUCGAGUGGCGAACGGGUGAGUAACACGUGAGUAACCUGCCCUUGACUUUGGGAUAACUUCAGGAAACUGGGGCUAAUACCGGAUAGGAGCUCCUGCUGCAUGGUGGGGGUUGGAAAGUUUCGGCGGUUGGGGAUGGACUCGCGGCUUAUCAGCUUGUUGGUGGGGUAGUGGCUUACCAAGGCUUUGACGGGUAGCCGGCCUGAGAGGGUGACCGGCCACAUUGGGACUGAGAUACGGCCCAGACUCCUACGGGAGGCAGCAGUGGGGAAUAUUGCACAAUGGGCGGAAGCCUGAUGCAGCAACGCCGCGUGCGGGAUGACGGCCUUCGGGUUGUAAACCGCUUUCGCCUGUGACGAAGCGUGAGUGACGGUAAUGGGUAAAGAAGCACCGGCUAACUACGUG